UACGGAGGGUGCAAGCAUUAAUCGGAUUUAUUGGGCGUAAAGGGCGCGUAGGCGGAGAUAUAAGUCAGAUGUGAAAUCCCGGGGCUCAACUCCGGAACAGCAUUUGAAACUAUAUUUCUAGAGGGUAGGCGGAGAAAAUGGAAUUCCACAAGUAGCGGUGAAAUGCGUAGAUAUGUGGAAGAACACCAGUGGCGAAGGCGGUUUUCUAGCUUACUCCUGACGCUGAGGCGCGAAGGCGUGGGGAGCAAACAGG
rnacentral:rRNA from 1 species